rnacentral:pre_miRNA from 1 species
AAGCUACUUCCUCCGUUCAGAAUUACUUGUCACAGAAAUGGAUGUAUCUAGAUGUAUUUUAGUUUUAGAUACAUCCAUAUCCAAGACAAGUAAUUCCGAACGGAGGGAGUACAUG